rnacentral:rRNA from 1 species
UGGGGAAUAUUGCACAAUGGGGGAAACCCUGAUGCAGCGACGCCGCGUGAGCGAUGAAGUAUUUCGGUAUGUAAAGCUCUAUCAGCAGGGAAGAAUUAAGACGGUACCUGACUAAGAAGCACCGGCUAAAUACGUGCCAGCAGCCGCGGUAAUACGUAUGGUGCAAGCGUUAUCCGGAUUUACUGGGUGUAAAGGGAGCGUAGACGGAGAGGCAAGUCUGAUGUGAAAAGCCCGGGGCUCAACCCCGGGACUGCAUUGGAAACUGUCAGUCUAGAGUGCCGGAGAGGUAAGCGGAAUUCCUAGUGUAGCGGUGAAAUGCGUAGAUAUUAGGAGGAACACCAGUGGCGAAGGCGGCUUACUGGACGAUGACUGACGUUGAGGCGCGAAAGCGUGGGUAGCAAACAGGAUUAGAUACCC